CCUACGGGAGGCAGCAGUGGGGAAUAUUGCACAAUGGGGGAAACCCUGAUGCAGCGACGCCGCGUGAGUGAAGAAGUAUUUCGGUAUGUAAAGCUCUUUCAGCAGGGAAGAAAAUGACGGUACCUGAUUAAGAAGCCCCGGCUACCUACGUGCCAGCAGCCGCGGUAAUACGUAGGGGGAAAGCGUUAUCCGGAUUUACUGGGGGGAAAGGGAGCGUAGACGGCAGCACAAGUCUGGAGUGAAAUGCCGGGGCUUAACCCCGGAACUGCUUUGGAAACUGUGCAGCUAGAGUGCAGGAGAGGUAAGUGGAAUUCCUGGUGUAGCGGUGAAAUGCGUAGAUAUUAGGAGGAACACCAGUGGCGAAGGCGGCUUACUGGACUGUAACUGACGUUGAGGCACGAAAGCGUGGGGAGCAAACAGGAUUAGAUACCCCUGUAGUC
rnacentral:rRNA from 1 species